rnacentral:rRNA from 1 species
GCUCAGGAUGAACGCUGGCGGCGUGCCUAAUACAUGCAAGUCGAGCGAGGUUCUUCGGAACCUAGCGGCGGACGGGUGAGUAACACGUGGGUAACCUGCCUGUAAGACCGGGAUAACUUCGGGAAACCGAAGCUAAUACCGGAUACUUUCGAGCAUCGCAUGAUGCUUGAUGGAAAGGCGGCUUCGGCUGUCACUUACAGAUGGACCCGCGUCGCAUUAGCUAGUUGGUGAGGUAACGGCUCACCAAGGCGACGAUGCGUAGCCGACCUGAGAGGGUGAUCGGCCACACUGGGACUGAGACACGGCCCAGACUCCUACGGGAGGCAACAGUAGGGAAUCUUCGGCAAUGGGCGAAAGCCUGACCGAGCAACGCCGCGUGAGCGAUGAAGGCCUUCGGGUCGUAAAGCUCUGUUGUUAAGGAAGAACAAGUACGAGAGUAACUACUCGUACCUUGACGGUACUUAACGAGAAAGCCACGGCUAACUACGUGCCAGCAGCCGCGGUAAUACGUAGGUGGCAAGCGUUAUCCGGAAUUAUUGGGCGUAAAGCGCGCGCAGGCGGUUUCUUAAGUCUGAUGUGAAAGCCCACGGCUCAACCGUGGAGGGUCAUUGGAAACUGGGAAACUUGAGUGCAGAAGAGGAAAGCGGAAUUCCACGUGUAGCGGUGAAAUGCGUAGAGAUGUGGAGGAACACCAGUGGCGAAGGCGGCUUUCUGGUCUGUAAACUACGCU